CACACACAGGCCCCACAAAACAAUAAUUAUCCUAAUAAUACCCCCCACCCCCCACCACUAGAUCACUUUGCUUGCGGUCAAGUUGUGGACCCCGAAAAUUUAGACUGCCUAUAAAAGUCAAUUUUGAUUUGACCGUUUUUCAGAGGGAUUGUCAGUAUGAUCGAUACUUGACAAUG